rnacentral:tRNA from 1 species
CCUUGAUAGCUUAAACAACAGAGCAUAGCACUGAAGAUGCUAAGGCAGCAAUAUUUGCUUCAAAGCA